GGCUUGGUGGUGUAGUUGGUUAUCACGUCAGUCUAACACACUGAAGGUCCCGAGUUCAAACCUCGGCCGAGUCA